AGUCUUAUAUUCAAAAUUUAUGAUUUUAAAUUGCAAAUUUAAAAGUGGUGUAUUUAAGCCCUAAGGACUU
rnacentral:tRNA from 1 species